CUUAAGGACGAGUAGGACCCGGGACUGGAGUUGUGUGGGCUUUUAUUGUCCAGGCAAGCUACUUGAGGGGGAUAAAGCGGGACGAGUGGGUGGCUCCAAUGCCAGGCCGGCCAUGCUUCACAGGCUUGUAGGUGAUGGAGAACUCGCCCAGGUAGUGUCCGAUCAUCUCAGGCUGUGGAGGUCAAGGGCAGGCCGAGUCAGAGUCUGUGGGCAGUCAGUGCCCCUCCCGUCCACCCAGGCCCAGCACACUUCGCGCGCGUACACACACACCUUGAUCUCCACCUGGUUGAAGGUCUUGCCAUUGUACACACCAACCAUGCUGCCCACCAUCUCGGGCAAAAUAAUCAUGUCCCGCAGGUGUGUCUUCACCACCUCUGGUUUUUCCAUGGGGGGUGCCUCUUUCUUGGCCUUGCGCAGGCGCUUUAGCAGCGAGUGCUGCUUCCGACGCAGGCCCCGGUUCAGCCGCCGACGCUGGCGUGCGCUGUACAGCUGCAUCAGCUGCUCGCUGGGGGGCAACCAGGUGGGGCGGUGUAGGUGGUGUGGCCCCCCAGACACACAGCUGCCGGGACUCCGCACGCCCUCCUCUGCUCCCCACAGUGCCACACCCAGACCAGGGUCCCGGGACAGCGCCGCCCCGCCCCGCCCGAGGAUGAGUCCCUCCAAGUCAUGAACCGCCACACUGACGCUGUUUGGAGAUGAGGGAAGGGCGGACGGUUCUGCAGCGUUAGGCCCUGAUCCCCGGGUGCACUUGUUGGAAACCCCAGGCAUCGGGCCCCUCUAGGCGACGCCAGGUAGUCCAGCAGCCUCUCUCCACCACUCCGAGGCUGAGACCACGGGCACCUGUGGCGCGGCGCAGACUUUACCACGCCCGCCCCAGCGGGCCGGCUGCGGGGGCUUGUCUCUGCAGUUCGGGAGCACCACCCGGGGCGUCUUACUAGGACAUGUCCAACAGCUGGUCGAGGUCCACGCCGCGGUAGGUGAACUUGCGGAAGGUCCGCUUCUUCUUCUGCUCCACUUCCGCCUGCGCGGGUGCGGGCCGGGGUGAGUAAGGGGCGCCCAGACCCACCCGGAGGCCCCACGGACGCACUCACCGGCCGUCCAGCCCUACGGAAGCCCGGACGGGCACGCUUGUCCGGCGUUACCGGGGCUCGGCCAGGACAUGCGGGCCCGAAGGGCCUUCGGCGCCGAGAGGUCCGCACACACCGGGACCAACCGCGGCCCCGGAGGCCCGAAGCGGGCCGUCGCAGCGCGGGGUAUGACCCCGGCCCCCGCAGGACGGCCAGAGGUCGGAUGGAGUUGGAUGGAGUUGGAUAGAGCCCCCACAGGCGCCGGGACGAGCACCACUCACCAUCUUGCCGGCUCUGCGAAAAGACCGCCCCUCCCGGGCCUGCGCAGUUAUCGCGAGGUCGCCUCGGGCCCCGCCCCUCGGCUGGCGGCACUUCCGCCUUCCAGCGGCAGUCACCGCCCCCUGCUGGCCGGAGGGCAGAACACCGGUUACGGGUGUCAAAGGGACCGCUGCCUUGGGCCUGAGUUGCCCUUUCCAAAACGCUGGUCUUUAUUUGAACCUCAGGGUCUUGCUAAAUUGCCUAGGCUGGCCUGGAACAUGACUCUCCUGCCUCAGCCUGCCCAGUUGCCGGGAUGACAGGUGUGGCCACCACACCUGGCUUGUUAGUGCACAUUCGAAGGCUGGGUAUAUUCCCAAAAGUAUUGAAGCAGGGAUUUGAACAGGGACUCUUACCAACGGAAGGUGCUCACACAUGGUAUAGACAGAAGGUCCUUCAGGAGCCGGUGCCCAGGAACGUGGUGAAGCUGGCUCACUGGACAGCUGCCCUAGAAGGCUCAGGGUCACUCCCAGCCAAGCUGAACUUCCCCUGCCCCCAAAACUGAGUUGGGGAUGUGGGUUUCUGGAUGUCUUUCAUUUUUGGUCAAACUGGUCAAUGGGAAAGCCCUGAAGCCAUGUGCUGAGAGAGGUGGGCUUCCAGCAAGACCGCACCUGCUGCCCAGGGUCAGGCUGCGGAAGUCAGGGUUGCCAUGCGGCCAGUCAAGAGCGCCCACCUCCACAGCACACUGCAGAUGCUACCAGGCCGGCCGGCCGACAAAAGCAAGGAGUGAACAAAAACAAAAACACUCAGCAGAUUUCUGUAGCUCCCAGAGUCUCUGGACCCACAAGCCCCAACUCCCAAGCCAGGAGUGAGGGGACCUAAAAACGACCCCUCCCACCAGUGCCGACCGAACCCUGUUUUUAAAUUAAAAAAUAAGCCAGUAUACAUCGUAGAAAAUUUCUCUUAAAAAUCUCACAAUUUGUAAAUGUAUAUUUUUUCUUUAACAUAAAAGUUUACAAUAUACGGUAAAACAAAAGGCUCAGGAAAAUAAUUCAAAAAAAAAA